UGGGGAAUAUUGGACAAUGGGCGCAAGCCUGAUCCAGCCAUGCCGCGUGAGUGACGAAGGUCUUCGGAUUGUAAAGCUCUUUUGGCGGGGACGAUAAUGACGGUACCCGCAGAAUAAGCCCCGGCUAACUUCGUGCCAGCAGCCGCGGUAAUACGAAGGGGGCUAGCGUUGUUCGGAAUCACUGGGCGUAAAGCGCACGUAGGCGGACUUAUAAGUCAGGGGUGAAAUCCCGGGGCUCAACCUCGGAACUGCCUCUGAUACUGUGAGUCUCGAGACCGGAAGAGGUGAGUGGAAUUCCUAGUGUAGAGGUGAAAUUCGUAGAUAUUAGGAAGAACACCAGUGGCGAAGGCGGCUCACUGGUCCGGUUCUGACGCUGAGGUGCGAAAGCGUGGGGAGCAAACAGGAUUAGAUACCCAAGUAGUCCCUGAGCGGGCUGGCAAGGCGCAU
rnacentral:rRNA from 1 species